GUUCCCAUGUCCGUUGGUCGUGUUGAGUACCUAUGCGUUGUCUCAGCCUGUGUUGCAUGCUGUGUGUAUUACGGGUAUCGUCCCGUGUCGUUCUACGAGGUUUACCCUCGCUCUUUUGUUUGGGUACAUCCCAGUGUUUUGUAUACGUGUUUGUUUUGGGUGCCUGUUGUGACCUGGGCCUGCCUGUUGAGACCUGGGCCUGCCUGUUGAGGCCUGGGCCUGCCUGUUGAGGCCUGGGCCUGCCUGUUGAGGCCUGGGCUUGCCUGUUGAGACCUGGGCCUGCCUGUUGAGACCUGGGCCUGCCUGUUGAAACAACACAGGCUGGGUUCCCACUUGGUACACUUCCUUUGGCAGGCUGAGGCUUUGGGGUGUGUGUGUGUGGACAUGAAGACACUCAGGGCCACCAUGGAGCAGGUCUCACAGAUCUCUACGUGAGGGUGGAAUGAUUUCAAGGCCAUCCUCAAACAGGUAUCAGUGGAUGUCAUCACGAGCAGGCCAGAAUAAUCUGGUUGAUUCAACGUGAUGUGUCUAGUGUCUGGUGUCUGGUCUGGUCUUACACUCCUGCUCAAGCAGCCCUGGACUUCCCCACUGGAUUUCCUUCACUGGCUGAAUGUGGCGCAGCAGUUGGCUCCUUCUUGCUAAAAUGUAGAUGUUGUGUGUUGAAGCACUUGCAGUCGAGUUGCUUCUGUGUUGAGCACAUACAGCAGAAAUGUAGAUUGACAAGAAAAGAAUGCACUCUCCAGAGACAUCGCUCCGAUGUAGACUACUGUAUGUAAUCUUAACAUGGACAACAUUACAGUCAACAUAUGCAUGUGGUUAUAAGAAUGAAGAUAAAAAAUAAUUAAUUAAUUUGAAUAAUUGGAUAACUUCACAAACAAAGUGAAACUCAACUCUGUCACAGUCUCACAACCCUGUUAUGAUCAACGGAGUUGUGUUUUUUGGCUCAAAAUGGCCACUGCGCCUCAUGUGGUGAAGAACAUGAGACCAGAUCGUGUGCACGAAAUUAAGAAAUUGUAUAUAUUUUUGCAAUAAAAAAUGUAAUAGUUUUCUAUCUUUAUUUCAUGUAACAGAGUUGAGCUUGAUCUAACAAUAAAAAUCAAUGAAAUAUAGAUAUUAAAAAAAAUAUACAACUUGCCUGUCUUUGCACCAUGUUCUUCAGAAGACUUGUAAUGAUGUCACUUCCAGUUGAUGAUGUCACAUAAGGAUAAGUUCACAAUUUUUUAUGAGGGGAGAUUGGUUGGCGUAAUGGGGUUGAGGGUAGACUGAGGUACGCAAUUAAUUAUAGUGAUUUUUAAUCAAUAAUCAUGCAUUUAUUAGGAAAAAAUACUUUCUCAGCAAAAGAGCACAAAUAGAUGUUCAUAUCAAUGGUAAAAUGUAAGAAUUAUAAGCAAUUUUAUUUUUUCAUAUCCUAAAUACAAAUUCAGUG
rnacentral:lncRNA from 1 species